rnacentral:rRNA from 1 species
GUAAUGCUUAGGAAUCUGCCUAUUAGUGGGGGACAACAUCUCGAAAGGGAUGCUAAUACCGCAUACGUCCUACGGGAGAAAGCAGGGGACCUUCGGGCCUUGCGCUAAUAGAUGAGCCUAAGUCGGAUUAGCUAGUUGGUGGGGUAAAGGCCUACCAAGGCGACGAUCUGUAGCGGGUCUGAGAGGAUGAUCCGCCACACUGGGACUGAGACACGGCCCAGACUCCUACGGGAGGCAGCAGUGGGGAAUAUUGGACAAUGGGGGAACCCUGAUCCAGCCAUGCCGCGUGUGUGAAGAAGGCCUUUUGGUUGUAAAGCACUUUAAGCGAGGAGGAGGCUACCGAGAUUAAUACUCUUGGAUAGUGGACGUUACUCGCAGAAUAAGCACCGGCUAACUCUGUGCCAGCAGCCGCGGUAAUACAGAGGGUGCAAGCGUUAAUCGGAUUUACUGGGCGUAAAGCGCGCGUAGGUGGCCAAUUAAGUCAAAUGUGAAAUCCCCGAGCUUAACUUGGGAAUUGCAUUCGAUACUGGUUGGCUAGAGUAUGGGAGAGGAUGGUAGAAUUCCAGGUGUAGCGGUGAAAUGCGUAGAGAUCUGGAGGAAUACCGAUGGCGAAGGCAGCCAUCUGGCCUAAUACUGACACUGAGGUG